ACCUAUGGCCACACCACCCUGAAGGUGCCCAAUCUCGUCUAAUCUUGGAAGUGAUCCAGGGCCGGGCCUGGAUAGUAUAUGGAUGGGAAUACCAGGUGUCGUGGGCU
rnacentral:rRNA from 1 species